UACGUAGGGUGCGAGCGUUGUCCGGAUUCACUGGGUGUAAAGGGUGCGCAGGCGGGCUCUUAAGUCAAAGGUGAAAGCUCUCGGCUUAACCGAGAAAUUGCCUUUGAUACUGAGAGUCUUGAGUACGGGAGAGGGAGAUGGAAUUCCAGGUGUAGCGGUGAAAUGCGUAGAUAUCUGGAGGAACACCAGAGGCGAAGGCGGUCUCCUGGCCCGUUACUGACGCUCAGGCACGAAAGCGUGGGGAGCAAACAGG
rnacentral:rRNA from 1 species